rnacentral:rRNA from 1 species
GCCUCAAUCUCAUCUCUCUUUUUGCGUUCUGCUUCAAUAUCUGGUUGAACGGCGUCGCGUCGUAACCCAGCUUGGUAAGUUGGAUUAAGCACUCCGUGGACAGAUUUGUCAUUGUGAGCAUUUUCAUCCCGAAGUUGCGGCUCAUUCUGAUUCUGAACAGCUUCUUGGGAAGUAGCGACAGCUUGGUUUUUAGUGAGUUGUUC